rnacentral:rRNA from 1 species
GAUGAACGCUGGCGGCGUGCUUAACACAUGCAAGUCGAACGAAGCACUUUAUUUGAUUUCCUUCGGGACUGAUUAUUUUGUGACUGAGUGGCGGGCGGGUGAGUAACGCGUGGGUAACCUGCCUUGUACAGGGGGAUAACAGUUGGAAACGGCUGCUAAUACCGCAUAAGCGCACAGCAUCGCAUGAUGCAGUGUGAAAAACUCCGGUGGUAUAAGAUGGACCCGCGUUGGAUUAGCUAGUUGGUGAGGUAACGGCCCACCAAGGCGACGAUCCAUAGCCGACCUGCGAGGGUGACCGGCCACAUUGGGACUGCGACACGGCCCAAACUCCUACGGGAGGCAGCAGUGGGGAAUAUUGCACAAUGGGCGAAAGCCUGAUGCAGCGACGCCGCGUGAGCGAAGAAGUAUUUCGGUAUGUAAAGCUCUAUCAGCAGGGAAGAUAAUGACGGUACCUGACGAAGAAGCACCGGCUAAAUACGUG